GCGCAGCAGGCGCGAAAACUUUACAAUGCGGGAAACCGUGAUAAGGGGACACCGAGUGCCAGCGUCAUACGCUGGCUGUCCAGGUGUGUAAAAUACACCUGUUAGCAAGGGCCGGGCAAGACCGGUGCCAGCCGCCGCGGUAACACCGGCGGCCCGAGUGGUGAUCGUGAUUAUUGGGUCUAAAGGGUCCGUAGCCGGUUUGGUCAGUCCUCCGGGAAAUCUGAUAGCUCAACUGUUAGGCUUUCGGGGGAUACUGCCAGACUUGGAACCGGGAGAGGUAAGAGGUACUACAGGGGUAGGAGUGAAAUCUUGUAAUCCCUGUGGGACCACCUGUGGCGAAGGCGUCUUACCAGAACGGGUUCGACGGUGAGGGACGAAAGCUGGGGGCACGAACCGGAUUAGAUACCCGGGUAGUCCCAGCCGUAAACGAUGCUCGCUAGGUGUCAGGCAUGGCGCGACCGUGUCUGGUGCCGCAGGGAAGCCGUGAAGCGAGCCACCUGGGAAGUACGGCCGCAAGGCUGAAACUUAAAGGAAUUGGCGGGGGAGCACAACAACGGGUGGAGCCUGCGGUUUAAUUGGAUUCAACGCCGGA
rnacentral:rRNA from 1 species